rnacentral:rRNA from 1 species
GACGAACGCUGGCGGCGUGCUUAACACAUGCAAGUCGAACGAAGUGGCGAACGGGUGAGUAACGCGUACUCAACCUGCCCUUCAGAGGGGGACAACAGUUGGCAACGACUGCUAAUACCGCAUACUGAAGGAGGGGCUUGCGUCUGAUUAGCUAGUUGGAGGGGUAACGGACCACCAAGGCGAUGAUCAGUAGCAGGUCGGAGAGGAUGAACGGCCAGAGUGGGACUGAGACAAGGCCAAGACUCCUACGGGAGGCAGACGUGGGAAAUCUGCCGCAAUGGACGAAAGUCUGACGGAGCAACGCCGCGUGAGUGAUGACGGCCUUCGGGUUGUAAAGCUCUGUUAAUCGGGACGCGGUACCGGAAUAGAAAGCCACGGCUAACUACGUGCCAGCAGCCGCGGUAAUAC